CAGACGAUGCGUCAUGCAUAUCAAUAAGCGGAGGAAAAGAAACUAACAAGGAUUCCCUCAGUAACGGCGAGUGAAGCGGGAAGAGCUCAAAUUUGAAAUCUUGAAAGGUCACCUUUCACGAAUUGUAGUUUAAAGAAGUGUUUCUGUUACGAUCGUAAUAUAAGUUCUUUGGAAUAGGACAUCACAGAGGGUGAGAAUCCCGUCUAUGAUUGCGAUUUGUAGCUUUGUGAUACACUUUCAAAGAGUCGGGUUGUUUGGGAAUGCAGCCCAAAACGGGAGGUAAAUUUCUUCUAAGGCUAAAUAUUGGCGAGAGACCGAUAGCGAACAAGUACCGUGAGGGAAAGAUGAAAAGAACUUUGAAAAGAGAGUUAAAUAGUACGUGAAAUUGUCAAAAGGGAAGCGUUUAACACCAGUGUUGUUUUCUGAAAAUCAACCUCUGUUAGCUUUAUGCAUGUUUGUUUAGACCUAAUCAGCUAUCUUGCAUGUUCUAUUGUUUGCAGUGGUGCACUUUUCAGUUUACAGGUCAACAUCAGUUUUUUUUACCGUAAAAAAGUUAAAGAAAGGUAGCUCAUGGCUCCGGUCGUGAGUGUUAUAGUCUUUUUCCUAUGCGGUAGGAGAGACUGAGGUCUGCAGUGUAGGCUAUUUGGCUAGAUACUCAGGUGCUAUGUGAUACCAUUUCAUAAACAACUUGUUGAUUAUGUUUUGUCUAUUGCAUACUCGCUUGUACUAUCAUACCUACGCUUAGGAUGUUGAAGACUCUACAGAGAUA
rnacentral:rRNA from 1 species